CCGGGGAGUCCUUAUACCUGUUAAGCCUUUGUUCUGCAACAUCUCAUCCCACAGGCUUUGAUUAUUGAUGACUGUCUGCAAAGUGGAAGGCACUGUAAAAGGUAUUCAAGCACUAGUGCACCAGAUAAAGAAUUGUUGAUAUGUCAGACCCACCUGUAACUGGACUUCUCGUUUUUUGCUUGCCAUUUAUCUACUAUCAUAGGAAAAAGAAAGAAAAAUUUUUAAGUAGGAAAUUUAAAUAACAUUUUCUUUAUGCAUGCAAAUAACAUCUUUUAAAACAAUUUUUAAUUUUUGUGGGUACAUAGUAGGUGUAUAUAUUUAUGUAUCUCUGUAUUUAUGUACUUAAAUAUUUGUGUAUUUAAAUCUGAGAUAUUUUGAUACAGGCAUGCCAUGCAUAAUAAUCACAUCAGGGUAAAUGGGGUAUCCAUCACCUCAAGCAUUUAUCCUUUGUGUUACAAACAAUCCAAUUAUACUCUUUUAGUUAUUUUAAAAUGUACAAUUUAGAUUUUUUGACUGCAGUCACCUGUUUGUGCUAGCAAAUACUAGGUCUUAUUCAUUGUUCUUUUUUUUUUUUUUUUUUUUUGAGACAUAGUCUCACUCUGUUGCCAGACUGGAGUGCAGUGGCACAAUCUGGGCUCACUGCAACCUCCGUCUCCUGGGUUCAAGCGAUUCUCCUGCCUCAGCCUCCAGAGUACCUGUGACUACAGGCACCCGCCACCACGGCGGGCUAAUUUUUUUUGUAUUUUUAGUAGAUACAGAAUUUCACCGUGUUAACCAGGAUGGUCUCAACCUCCUGACCCGUGAUCCUCCCACCUCAGCCUCCCAGAGUGCUGGGAUUACAGUAUUCAUUCUUUCUAACUGCAAAUAACAUCUUAAUGUACUAGUGAAAAAUUUCCCCACUGUACAUUGGAUUAUGCAGUGUCAUCUUUGCUGGGGAGAGAGAAGCUAAUGUCAUGGAAGGACUAUUGUAUGCUAGGCUCUAUGCUAAAUGCUUAUAGCUGCCACACUAUCUUAUCCUCCCAACAGUCCUGAAGCAAGCAUAAGGUGGUUCCACGACUCUGCUGGAUAAUAAUUUUAAAUGAUGGCUUACACGGGGACAGCGAUAGGAAAAGAAGGAAUGGAAAUGUAGGAUGAGUAUGGUAUAUGCGUUCAGAAUAUUAGAGAAGAGGAGACGAUCUGACUUCUGACAAGAAGAGCAGCACCAGAUGUCUGCCAUUUCACUAGAUCUAGUUUUCAAAGUGCAUUCAAUCACCAACUAUGUGUAGGCAUCAGAAUUGCCAUCUCGUUUCAUCGCUCUUCAGUCUGCAGAACACUAUAGGAUUACUUGUAAUGUAAGUCUUCUAGUGACAAACGCUCUCAGUUCUGUUUAUCUGAAAAUGUAUUAAUUUUUCCUUCAUUUUUAAAAAUGUUUUAUGGAUACAGAGUUCUUGCUUGACAUGUUUUUUAUUCCCUCUCUUCAGUGCUUUGAAUGUAUCUUUCUAAAGUAUGAUGGCUUCCAUAGUUUCUGAUGAGACAUCAGUAUUUAACAUUAUCAUUGUUCUGCAGUAUGCAAUAUGUCAUUAUUCUCUGCCUAUCAAGAUUUUCUCCUUAAUUUGGCUUUCAACAAAAUGACUAUGAUAUGCUUAGUGGUGGUUUUCUUUGCAUUUAUUCUGCGUGUGUUUUGUGAGUUUCUCAGACUCCUACGUUAAUAUUUUCCAUCGAAUUUCAAGUUUUUGAUCAUAUUCCUUCUAACAUUUUCUUGCCUUCUUUCUCUAUUCUCAAUCUCGUAUUCCAAUUACACAUAUGUGAGAGUGUGAUGUUGCCCCACAGGUCUCUGUAACUCUGUUUAGUUUUAUUCUCUUAAUUCAUUCUUUGGGUGCAGAUAACAUAUGUUGAUUUAUUUUCAAGUUUAUACAUUUUUUGUCAUUUAUUAUUUGUUGAGCUCAUCUAGUGAAUCUUUUUUAUUUCAGUUAUUGUACUUUCCACCUUUAGAAUUUACAUUUUGCAUAGUUUGCAUUUGUCUGUUGGGAUUUUCUGUCUAGUCUAUUAAUUAACAUUAUAUUUUAUUUAAUUAUUGAACUUUUUUGAAUUUAUUCAACAUAUUUUUAACAACUGCUUUGAAAUCUGUGUCUACUAAUUAUAACAUUUGGGCCCAUUCAGUCAAUUUCUAUUGAUUGCCCUUUUUUGAGUAUAGGUCAUACUUUUCCAUCUUUUUACAUAUCUGGUAAAUUUUAGUAAUAAAACUGGACAUUGUAGAUAAUAAAG
rnacentral:lncRNA from 10 species